ACAAUGGGGGAAACCCUGAUGCAGCGACGCCGCGUGGAGGAAGAAGGUCUUCGGAUUGUAAACUCCUGUUGUUGAGGAAGAUAAUGACGGUACUCAACAAGGAAGUGACGGCUAACUACGUGCCAGCAGCCGCGGUAAAACGUAGGUCACAAGCGUUGUCCGGAAUUACUGGGUGUAAAGGGAGCGCAGGCGGGAAGACAAGUUGGAAGUGAAAUCUAUGGGCUCAACCCAUAAACUGCUUUCAAAACUGUUUUUCUUGAGUAGUGCAGAGGUAGGCGGAAUUCCCGGUGUAGCGGUGGAAUGCGUAGAUAUCGGGAGGAACACCAGUGGCGAAGGCGGCCUACUGGGCACCAACUGACGCUGAGGCUCGAAAGUGUGGGUAGCAAACAGGAUUAGAUACCCUGGUAGUCCACACCGUAAACGAUGAUUACUAGGUGUUGGAGGAUUGACCCCUUCAGUGCCGCAGUUAACACAAUAAGUAAUCCACCUGGGGAGUACGACCGCAAGGUUGAAACUCAAAGGAAUUGACGGGGGCCCGCACAAGCAGUGGAGUAUGUGGUUUAAUUCGAAGCAACGCGAAGAACCUUACCAGGUCUUGACAUCCUACUAACGAGAUAGAGAUAUGUUAGGUGCCCUUCGGGGAAAGUAGAGACAGGUGGUGCAUGGUUGUCGUCAGCUCGUGUCGUGAGAUGUUGGGUUAAGUCCCGCAACGAGCGCAACCCUUAUUGCCAGUUACUACGCAAGAGGACUCUGGCGAGACUGCCGUUGACAAAACGGAGGAAGGUGGGGAUGACGUCAAAUCAUCAUGCCCUUUAUGACUUGGGCUACACACGUACUACAAUGGCGUUAAACAAAGAGAAGCAAGACCGCGAGGUGGAGCAAAACUCAGAAACAACGUCUCAGUUCAGAUUGCAGGCUGCAACUCGCCUGCAUGAAGUCGGAAUUGCUAGUAAUCGCGGAUCAGCAUGCCGCGGUGAAUACGUUCCCGGGCCUUGUACACACCGCCCGUCACACCAUGAGAGCCGGGGGGACCCGAAGUCGGUAGUCUAACCGCAAGGAGGACGCCGCCGAAGGUAAAACUGGUGAUUGGGGUGAAGUCGUAACAAGGUAGCCGUAGGAGAACCUGCGGCUG
rnacentral:rRNA from 1 species